GGGGAUAUAGCUCAGUUGGUAGAGUGCUUGCCUUCCAUGCACAUAACCCUGGGUUCAAUCCCCUGUACCACAA
rnacentral:tRNA from 1 species